UCAAGAUUGUUACUCUUCCUUGUGUGUAUCAUCAUUAUCAUAUGUUCUGCACAUGCUGUGUUUGUCAAAAUUCCACACUCGUCGGUAACUUUGAUUUGCUCUUCAGUUAAAUCGGAUGGAUUGUUCAUUUAGUCGAUGGAUUCUUCCCCUUUUUGCCUCAUUGGAUUGCUAAGGCUUGUAAUGUUGUUUUACAGCAUGGGCAUUUAGGAUUUACGCUCUCAUGUUAUGAUGCUGAAGUUAGCUACGAUGGUCGCACUAACACUUUUCUGGCAAGAUAUCCACCGCAUGGAAGAAGAACUGUGGUCAUAGAAGGAGUUGAGUGGGAUAGGUUAAGGUCGCCUCCUAUAGACACUCCUGCUUAUGAUCUUCAUAUCUCCAAUUGUUUGAACGAUUUGCAACCAGGCGACCAUAUUGAGAUCCAAUGGAGAAGGAACAAAGAGUUUCCUUAUGGAUGGUGGUAUGGAGGAAUAGGUCAAUUGGAAUCUUGUGAUGGAAAUCGGCAUUUCUGUUAUUGUCAUCUUAGUGGAUGGUGGUAUGGAGGAAUAGGUCAAUUGGAAUCUUGUGAUGGAAAUCGACAUUUCUGUUGUUGUCAUCUUAGUGAAUAACCAUAUCGUGGCAUUGAAAGUUCUUUUCAAGAGCUAGCUCAAACAAUCUCAAGUUGAGCAUCAACUGCGACGUGAAGUUAGAUACAAAGCCACCUCCGGCAUCCAAACAUAUUACGUCUAUAUGGUUACUUCUAUGAUCAGACUCGAGUUUACUUGAUACUGGAAUAUGCAGCUAAAGGUGAACUCUACAAGGAACUACAGAAAUCCAAAUGCUUCAGUGAGAGGCGAACUG